rnacentral:rRNA from 1 species
UACGUAGGAGGCGAGCGUUAUCCGGAUUCACUGGGCGUAAAGCGCAUGUAGGCGGUUGGACAAUUCCUGUGUGAAAUCCCCCGGCUCAACUGGGGAACUGCACAGGAAACUAGCGGGCUUGAGUUCGGGAGAGGGAAGCGGAAUUCCUGGUGUAGCGGUGAAAUGCGCAGAUAUCAGGAGGAACACCGGUGGCGAAGGCGGGUCUCUGGGCUGACACUGACGCUCAUGCACGAAAGCGUGGGGAGCAAACAGG